GAUGAACGCUGGCGGCGUGCCUAAUACAUGCAAGUCGAGCGAACGGACGAGAAGCUUGCUUCUCUGAUGUUAGCGGCGGACGGGUGAGUAACACGUGGAUAACCUACCUAUAAGACUGGGAUAACUUCGGGAAACCGGAGCUAAUACCGGAUGAUAUUUUGAACCGCAUGGUUCAAAAGUGAAAGACGGUCUUGCUGUCACUUAUAGAUGGAUCCGCGCUGCAUUAGCUAGUUGGUAAGGUAACGGCUUACCAAGGCAACGAUGCAUAGCCGCCCUGAGAGGGUGAUCGGCCACACUGGAACUGAGCCACGGUCCCGACUCCUACGGGAGGCAGCAGUAGGGAAUCUUCCGCAAUGGGCGAAAGCCUGACGGAGCAACGCCGCGUGAGUGAUGAAGGUCUUCGGAUCGUAAAACUCUGUUAUUAGGGAAGAACAUAUGUGUAAGUAACUGUGCACAUCUUGACGGUACCUAAUCAGAAAGCCACGGCUAACUACGUG
rnacentral:rRNA from 1 species